rnacentral:rRNA from 1 species
GACAGAGGGUGCAAACGUUGCUCGGAAUUACUGGGCGUAAAGCGCGUGUAGGCGGGCGGGCAAGUCAGUUGUGAAAGCCCUGGGCUCAACCCAGGAAUUGCAUCUGAAACUGCUCGUCUCCGAGUGAUGGAGAGGGUAGCGGAAUUCUCGGUGUAGAGGUGAAAUUCGUAGAUAUCGAGAGGAACACCGGUGGCGAAGGCGGCUACCUGGACAUCUACUGACGCUGAGGCGCGAAAGCCAGGGGAGCAAACGGG